rnacentral:pre_miRNA from 1 species
AUAGUACUCCCUCCGUCCGGAAAAACUUGUCCCUCAAAUGGAUGUAUGUAGCACCAAUUUAGUGCUAGAUACAUCCAUUUAAGAAAUAAGCUUGGGACAAGUUUUCUCGGACAGAGGGAGUACUAC